AGUUUGUAUACCGCUGUUGUCAGUCAGUUUCUUUAGAAAACUUUCUAUAAUGAAAAAAUCAUGGACUUCAAGUAAAGGUGCAGCUUAUGUAAAAGAUAGAGGUGGGUUACAUUUAUUAGAAUAAAACAAAUAAAGUUUAUGAAAUAACUUUUGAAGGUGGAUUUAAUUGUAAAGUUUAAGAAAACUUGAUGUGAGCUCUAUCUUGUGUACAC
rnacentral:rRNA from 1 species